GCGUAAAUCGGAAUUACUGGGCGUAAAGCGUGCGCAGGCGGCUUUGUAAGACAGAUGUGAAAUCCCCGGGCUUAACCUGGGAACUGCAUUUGUGACUGCAUGGCUGGAGUGUGGCAGAGGGGGAUGGAAUUCCGCGUAUAGCAGUGAAAUGCGUAGAUAUGCGGAGGAACACCGAUGGCGAAGGCAAUCCCCUGGGCCUGCACUGACGCUCAUGCACGAAAGCGUG
rnacentral:rRNA from 1 species